CGCGUAGGCGGCUUUGUAAGUCGGAUGUGAAAUCCCCGGGCUUAACCUGGGAACUGCAUUCGAUACUGCAUAACUAGAGUAUGGUAGAGGGAAGUGGAAUUUCCGGUGUAGCGGUGAAAUGCGUAGAUAUCGGAAGGAACACCAGUGGCGAAGGCGACUUCCUGGGCCAAUACUGACGCUGAGGUGCGAAAGCGGUGGGGAGCAAACA
rnacentral:rRNA from 1 species